ACCAUAGAUUGUAAAAUAACUGGAUAGGAAACUUCCUGACGUCACAGUCUAAACCUAGUUACAAUCUGUGACGUCACCCGUAUUGCCAAAGUUCUCAGCAUUUUUGUUGUUUCGCUAUAUUUUCCGCUUUAAAAGAGUAAUAUUGAAGCAUAAACUGGUCUAAUUGUUUUAAAAACAUGCCUAAGCCACGACAAAGUAUUCAAGGUAAAUGUUUUUCGUCUUUGUUUUGUAUUUUUUUUACAUUUGUAGCUACGAAAUUGGCGUCGCCAAUUUUAACGAAAUUUGCGAU